GUCAAAGUAAAUUGUCUUGUUAAAUGUCAAACAAGAAUAAUCAGAAAACAUUACUCCUUUUCCAUUUUAUUAUUAAUAGGCCCAAUUUGUGAUAAUUAUCUGUAAAUGCUGGGAGAAGAGAGGGUUAGCAUGUGCACAUCGAAGGGACUAAAGGACACUGGGCUCUUCUUGACGUAUCAAGUUCCUUUAAAGUGAAGCUACAGUGACGCAUUUAGUGAGGAGCAGCCAUAGGCAGAGAUUUCCUUAUAUACGACCUCCUUAAACUCUUAGCUGUUGAGUAGCAGAGGUAGGAGUGUUUAUGUAAUUGAGUUACUCUUAUUGGGCUGAGAAAACCUACACUUGUUCGAACUGCUUUCUGGGAAGAGAGAAGGGAGGGAAGCCCCUGUCCGCUGGAAACUAAAGGAACAGAGCAAAGGCAUUAUUUUAGUGCCUCGGAAUGUUCUGUGUUCCACCUAACAGUACACUAAAAAUAAGAUAAGUUCCUGAGAACAAUUCUGAAUUUGUAGUUCAGUUUAGUCACCUGGCAAUGAAGAACUGGAAUAAAUGUGAGGAACAAACUUUUGGGACAAAUAGCAGAGGGUAGAGAGUUCAGAAAUGAGGACAUUUGCGCUUGUUUCCUUGCUGGGCUUGCAUGUGGAGUGACACUGCCUGUUUCACCUUCUGAUUGGUCGGAUUCCAAUUAAAUGGGGGUGCCUAUUUUAACCCCCAAUCAAGCACUGAAAGACUUUCCAGAUGGCCUUUGGAAAGAGUGUUUGAGGGAACUGUAAUGCUGGCUGUACUGACCUGCAGAAGAUGGUGCAGCUGGGUCUGAAAGGUGGACGCUGCUGCCUCCGGACCGCUGUGAAAGCAAGAGAAUCACCGUGAAGCAGGCUGAAAGAAAAGCUCUAAAGGGAAAGCUAAGACAUUUUAAUGACUAUGCUUCUUUCUGCUAUAAGGUGGUGGCUUUAAAGUUUAAAGGGACCUGCGUUGCUCUGUGACUCUGUGCUGGGAAGCCAAGCUCACCACACCUCUUUUGGGUUACAGGGAUACUCACGCCCGUACUCUGAGCCACAGGGAGAGCUGUGCAGGCAGCCACUGCUUAAAAGGGAGGCAGUAUCAGUUUUGAAAAUGAUCCAUGCUGUAAUGUCAUGAACCAGGAAGCUGGAAUCCUUUAGCAGUUCUUUAUGCAAAUAUUUGGCUGCAGCUUGAGCCGAAGGACUUGGAAAGAGUGGGUAUUAGAAAAUCUGCCUCAUUGUAGAGUUUCCCUAACCCCGUUCCUCCCCGGCUGGGCCUGUUUGUCUGCCUCCUCCCCUUGUUAUCUCCCUGAGGUGUGUUUACAUUAUCGUGCUUGAUAUUAUCUUUCUAGUUGUGGGUUCACUUUCUACUUUGCUCCAAUAACACAAAGAAAGGCACCUCUCUCUUAGAUUUCAAACAGCACGAAAAUUCACAAUCUACAAUUUAUAAAAAGACACAUCAAGGCUGUUUUAAAAAUUAAUGAUUUAAAAAAAAGGAAGGUAAAUGAUAUCUUUUGAUAAUGACUAACUCAAGUUUCCUUUUACCCUAAAGGCAAAUGUGUGUGUGUGUGUGUGUGUGUGUGUGUUUGCAAAUUGAUCUGGCUGAAAUAAGUUUUUUAAAAUCAAGUGUUUCAAUCUGACAUACACACAGUUUCUCUGGCACUGCCUGAAGAAUAUUUGAAUUCUUCACUGAAUAUGUGUCUCAACCUAUAACUUCCAUUUAUGAUUGCCUUCUUAAAAUUUCAACUGUGGAUACUACUCUGACUUUAUAACAAAUUAAGAUCGAUUUCUUGCUGCUCUGUAGUAUUUGAUACAAUUAACUCUCUCCUUGGCUUAAAGUUACCCAGAGGCAUCCUCAAACAAUUGAACAAAUUGGAAAUCAUCUCUGUUAUACCAGAAAGGUCUGCACUAAGAAGGGGGCAUACGUCAUCCCUUCGCACCUGCUACCCUUGCUUACUAAGUACGCUCUCACAGCUUCCUUAGAAUCCCAGAUCCUUACAAUGGCUUCCAGGGAGGGACUUUACAUCUGGCUCUUGUAAUUAAAUUAUAUGCAUGUUA